AUUAGAUGAGCCUAUAUUAGAUUAGCUAGUUGGUGGAGUAAUAGCCUACCAAGGCAAUGAUCUAUAGCUGAUCUGAGAGGAUGAUCAGCCACACUGGAACUGAGAUACGGUCCAGACUCCUACGGGAGGCAGCAGUGGGGAAUAUUGGACAAUGGGCGGAAGCCUGAUCCAGCCAUGCCGCAUGAGUGAAGAAGGCCUUUGGGUUGUAAAGCUCUUUUAGUGAGGAAGAUAAUGACGGUACUCACAGAAGAAGUCCUGGCUAACUCCGUGCCAGCAGCCGCGGUAAUACGGAGAGGGCUAGCGUUAUUCGGAAUUAUUGGGCGUAAAGGGCGCGUAGGCUGAUUAAUAAGUUAAAAGUGAAAUCCCGAGGCUUAACCUUGGAAUUGCUUUUAAAACUAUUAAUCUAGAGAUUGAAAGAGGAUAGAGGAAUUCCUGAUGUAGAGGUAAAAUUCGUAAAUAUUAGGAGGAACACCAGUGGCGAAGGCGUCUAUCUGGUUCAAAUCUGACGCUGAAGCGCGAAGGCGUGGGGAGCAAACAGGAUUAGAUACCCUGGUAGUCCACGCUGUAAACGAUGAAUGUUAAAUAUGGGAAGUUUA
rnacentral:rRNA from 1 species